rnacentral:rRNA from 1 species
GAUGAACGCUAGCUACAGGCUUAACACAUGCCAGUCGCGGGGCAGCAUGGGGGUUGCUUGCAAUCCCCGAUGGCGACCGGCGCACGGGUGAGUAACGCGUAUCCAACCUGCCCUUCACCACGGGAUAACCCGGCGAAAGUCGGACUAAUACCGUAUGUUGUCCAUUGACGGCAUCCGAUUUGGACGAAAGGCUUGGCGGUGAGGGAUGGGGAUGCGUCCGAUUAGCCAGACGGCGGGGUAACGGCCCACCGUGGCUACGAUCGGUAGGGGUUCUGAGAGGAAGGUCCCCCACACUGGAACUGAGACACGGUCCAGACUCCUACGGGAGGCAGCAGUGAGGAAGAUUGGUCAAUGGGCGUAAGCCUGAACCAGCCAAGUAGCGUGCAGGAUGACGGCCCUAUGGGUUGUAAACUGCUUUUAUGCGGGGAUAAAGUGGCCCACGUGUGGGCUUUUGCAGGUACCGCAUGAAUAAGGACCGGCUAAUUCCGUG